CGUUGAAACACUAGUUCUUGUCCGAUCACCGAAGUUAAGCAACGACGAGCCUGGUUAGUACCUAGAUGGGUGACUGCUUGGGAAUACCAGGGACUGUU